AUAUUGUCAUCAUUUUGUCAACCUAUAAAUAUAAUGUAAUAGACAAGAGCAAGAAUAAUUAUUAUAGUAAUCGAUGUAGUCAUUAUCUAUCAAUCAAAUUAGUUGUAAGUUAGUUAGUCCCUGUUCUCAAUAAAUAAGUUUUUUUAAAAAAGCAAAUGCUGGUUGUUGUCCUAUAACUGGGAUUAAGAGAGCAGUCGGUAUUUUGUUCUUUCCAAUAUUGGAUAAAAAUCGCCAUAUUUGGGUGCGUUUCUACGGUUCGAAGACCGCUACAAUCCCUGGAAGCUGAAAGAAGACCUGCAGAAACCUUCAAAGAACAAGUACCUGCAGCGAUUCAAUUGAAGCAACCACCCGUUAAGCACCGGAUUGAGAACAGCUAUAGUUUAGGUCCUAGGAAUACAAAAAUCGAUUCUUUUAGGAAAUUAGGCUAAGAGACAAAUGGAAAUGUUGGCAAGAACCUUACUGAAUAUUUGGCAACACGGCUAGGCUAUCCCUUGAAAUUUGCUCUUUCCACUUCUGUCGAUAAUACGGACUGUACCAUGUGACGCAAGGGAUGCUGUAUUAAUAGUUCUAUUGUAUUGCCGCCAAGAAUUGAGCCCCAGGAUGGCCAGACUAAAAAAAGGAGGUGGUGAUCCGCUACCCCCUAGUUCUGUAUCCCAUCUUACAGGCAAACGUACCACUUGCGUCUAAGUUUUGGUUCCAAGACAUCUUUCUAGGGCCCAAUUUUAACGGAGUUACCUAUACUUUUCAUUUUAGAUCUUCGAAUUGUGACGGGUGCUCUCUAGCAAACUCCUUUGCAAUCAAAGGUAUGUGAUAUUUUUAUUGGUACAGCUUGACAUUAUCUAGCAUCAAAUUAAUAAACAAAAGAGCUUUGGAAAUGUAUAAAAAAUGAAAUAGCUUCCUGCAGACCAAAUCCCAAAAAAGAGUUACAAUACCUGCUACCGAAUCAAAAGCAGUUUUUACUUUGAUGAAAACUGUCACUUUCCAUUUAAUUGCGAUAUAAAGAGGCCCUCUAUAUGUGGCAGUUUAUGAUCAGUAUGACUAAUAUUUUUAUUACACAUGUUAUUUGUACUGACUGAACUGCAUGGGGGAAAUAUAUUGUAUAUAGAGGGAAAUUAAUUGUUAUUUGUAUUUGGAAGCAUCAGAGAUCAGAAAAGGGAAGUAUAAUUAAUAGAUUAACGAACUUACCUGUGAAGUUCGAUCUAAAUUAUUCUCUGCGUCCACUUCAAAGACAUUUUACUAUGUAGUCCGGAUCUGGUACUUAAUACGCACAAGAUUUUAAAGACGUAAAAAGGAGCCAUCUUGCACCGAAUGGUGCAGCCAUUUCACGGUCACUCAUUUAGUUUAAAGUAUCAUUUUGUUUUAUUUAAAAAUAAUUGGGGCUUAUCGGGUUGGUAGGGUUUGCUGUCUUUGAAGUGGAUGCAGAGAAUAAUUUAGAUCGAACUUCACAGGUAAGUUCGUUUGAUCUAUUAAUUAUUCUCUGCAUCCACUUCAAAGAUAUGUUACUAUGUAGAUGUUUCAAGGUUUUUAUUUUUAAGUAGAACAAAUUGUAUGUUGUAAUCCAUUAACCAUAUUACUUUAAUUAUAUAUAUAUUUUUUAAUAAUGCUAUCUUAAACCUUCGAAACUGUAACAUUUCAUACAUAAAAUUAUAACUUAGAGAUAGAUAAAAUGUUACUCAUGAAUAAAUAUCGUAAUAUAUAACCCAUGCACAGACAAGAAAGGACUUUAUAUUAUUUAAAAAAGUCUAACAAAAAUUAUUCAUAUCGUGGGUAAGCAGCUUAUAUUAACAAAACAAAGGUAAGAACACAAAGUGAUGAACACAAUCAGUUUGAUGAGACCGUGACUUUGUGUUCUUACCUUUUUUUUUGUUUUCGUUUGGCCUCUUAGAGAAAAAUGGAUGAUACGUUUCUAUAGCUUAUAUUAAGUUUUUAGUACAGGAUUGUGGUUUCAAAAUUAAUCUUAAUACAGUUCUAAUAUCUUUCGAUUUAAAUGAGGUGCUAUUACAAACUCGUUAAUAUCUCGGAUAUAUGUAUAUCUCUAUAGCAGAAACUAUUUCAUUGGUACUUCCUUUAGCAAGUAGACAUUUCGCGUCUACUUUAAUCCGUGGGGACCAGUAGAAAUUUUUAAAAUUUUUGUUAGUAUCACAAAAAAAAUCUCCACAAAAAUCCAAGAGGUGCCCUAAACCCAACUUUUUAUUUUUUUAGUACUUCGAAAAAAUAAACAUCUCUAGUAAAUACAGAGAGAAAAGGGAAGGUCUUAUUAUAUAUUAAAAUCAUAAAUACAUUUCAUUGAAAUAUUACAUACUUAUUUCUGGGUAUCAUGCUUCAGAGAACCAUGAUGUUACAAUACGCUCCGCUCUUUAAUUUUGGUUUAGUAAAAAAUAUUCUCAAAAUUUGCAUAUAUCAAAAUUAUGUCAGUGUUCUAAAAUGUAUCGGUAAUAAAAUCGUAAACCAGAUCAACAUUGGAAAUAUAAAAAAAAAUUUGCUUUGGUUCGAUUUAAAAAAGUACUAUACUACCAAAUAGUUAAAUCUAUUCGGUUGCAAUUAAGUUAUAAAUAUAAAUUCUGUCUAUUAUUAAUUUUAAUAAUAUAAAGUGUACCGUUUAACUCUCAGCCAUUAUUUACAAUUUAAUUGUUAAUUAUGCCUAAAAAACGAAUUGACAACUUUGGUAUUGUUUGGAAGGUAAACAGCUUAAUUCCUUUAUGUAAAGCCACCUUAACAUGUUUGUUGCAAAAUUCUGACUCACGUUGGUUGCUAUCGGGCUUAAGCCAUAAAAAUCGAAGAAAAAAAGAAGAAGACGCCCACUUUCACUUGUCAUUUUAAUGUCACUUUCCGGCCCACAAGCAUAAACGCCACCGGCAAGGGGAGUUCCCAAAAUCCAAACAAAUGUUGGAAGGUAUGUUUAAGUUUCCACAUCUUUCUUACUUUUCUAUAUGAAAAUAAAAUGUAAGUAUCACAAUUACACACAUAUAAAAGUUUUUUUUUUUAAAUUCAGUUUCAUAAUUACCAAUUUUUAGUGAAUAAACCUAAAAUUUAUGAAUAUACAUACAUUUUAAGGUUAUGCCAUAAUGUUUUGAUUGUUAUAUUUCAUUUUGUUUUUCUGAUUUUAGUGCAAUACACCAACAAAAACAAAGGUUAUGUGUUUUGCACCAGAUUGAAAGCAUCAUAGCGAAAAACGGACCUGUAAUUUCUUUAAAUUUUCAAAAGAGCCCCUGGAAAUAGUGAAAUGAAUAUCUCUGCUAUGGAAUACUAAGGCAAAUGAAUAAAAAACCUUCAGUCCAUGCACUGGUAUGUAAUUGUUGACAAAAAUACAAUGAAUGGCCUCACUAUUUUUCCACAUGCAAAGAGGUUAACCAAGGAGAAAUUAAAGAAAUUGUCAAAAACCUAGGUAAAUACAGAAUUGCUUAGUACAAACAUAUCUAUACCCAGUACAAGUUCGUCCACUUCUUUGAAGCAUGGUACUUCAAACAGAGAAACUGUCAACACUUUGGUAGAAGGUGAGCCGGUGUCAAAUUCCAGUAAGGGACAUGAUUUCAAUUUUGCACCAACAGCAGAGCCGAAAUUCAUUUUGCUGCAAAAAGUUGGAGGAUGUGAAAGAAAAAAAUGCAGAAGUUAAAAUUAAGUUUUUCAUAUGAGCAUAUAAAAAAUAGUCAUAACAAAGUUCAGUUGUAUACAGGUUUGACAUGUAAUAAAUAUGUUUGUAACCUUAUUAAGUUAAUUAGUUUUAUACAUUAUUUAAAUUAGUAAUUGUAUAGUUCACAUAGAAUAGGCAGAAAUUAUAUGUACAUAUAUAAAAAAUUUUAUUAAGAUAAGGACAAGAUGUAGUAAAGCAUAACACAUAAUAUAGACACUCACGUAAUAUCUUUAUUAAAAA
rnacentral:misc_RNA from 1 species